rnacentral:rRNA from 1 species
UACGGAGGGUGCAAGCGUUAUCCGGAUUCACUGGGUUUAAAGGGUGCGUAGGUGGUUUAGAAAGUCAGUGGUGAAAUCUCCGAGCUUAACUCGGAAACUGCCAUUGAUACUAUUAGUCUUGAAUUAUCUGGAGGUGAGCGGAAUAUGUCAUGUAGCGGUGAAAUGCUUAGAUAUGACAUAGAGCACCAAUUGCGAAGGCAGCUCACUACGGAUAUAUUGACACUGAGGCACGAAAGCGUGGGGAUCAAACAGG